rnacentral:rRNA from 1 species
ACACAUGCAAGUCGAACGGAGCUGAGAGGAGCUUGCUUUUCUUAGCUUAGUGGCGAACGGGUGAGUAACGCGUGAGUAACCUGCCCUGGAGUGGGGGACAACAGUUGGAAACGACUGCUAAUACCGCAUAAGCCCACGGAUCCGCAUGGAUCUGCGGGAAAAGGAUUUAUUCGCUUCAGGAUGGACUCGCGUCCAAUUAGCUAGUUGGUGAGGUAACGGCCCACCAAGGCGACGAUUGGUAGCCGGACUGAGAGGUUGAACGGCCACAUUGGGACUGAGACACGGCCCAGACUCCUACGGGAGGCAGCAGUGGGGGAUAUUGCACAAUGGGGGAAACCCUGAUGCAGCGACGCCGCGUGGAGGAAGAAGGUUUUCGGAUUGUAAACUCCUGUCGUUAGGGACGAUAAUGACGGUACCUAACAAGAAAGCACCGGCUAACUACGUGCCAGCAGCCGCGGUAAAACGUAGGGUGCAAGCGUUGUCCGGAAUUACUGGGUGUAAAGGGAGCGCAGGCGGACCGGCAAGUUGGAAGUGAAAACUAUGGGCUCAACCCAUAAAUUGCUUUCAAAACUGCUGGCCUUGAGUAGUGCAGAGGUAGGUGGAAUUCCCGGUGUAGCGGUGGAAUGCGUAGAUAUCGGGAGGAACACCAGUGGCGAAGGCGACCUACUGGGCACCAACUGACGCUGAGGCUCGAAAGCAUGGGUAGCAAACAGGAUUAGAUACCCUGGUAGUCCAUGCCGUAAACGAUGAUUACUAGGUGUUGGAGGAUUGACCCCUUCAGUGCCGCAGUUAACACAAUAAGUAAUCCACCUGGGGAGUACGACCGCAAGGUUGAAACUCAA